rnacentral:rRNA from 1 species
ACUCCUACGGGAGGCAGCAGGUGGGGAAUAUUGCAGCAAUGGGCGCAAGCCUGGAUGCAGCCAUGCCGCGUGUGUGAAGAAGGCCUUCGGGUUGUAAAGCACUUUCAGUUGUGAGGAAAGGUUAGUCGCUAAUAUCGGCUAGCUGUGACGUUAGCAACAGAAGAAGCACCGGCUAACUCCGUGCCAGCAGCCGCGGUAAUACGGAGGGUGCGAGCGUUAAUCGGAAUUACUGGGCGUAAAGCGCGUGUAGGUGGCUUGUUAAGCCAGAUGUGAAAGCCCCGGGCUCAACCUGGACUGCAUUUGGAACUGGCAGGCUAGAGUUUGUAGAGGGGUGGUAGAAUUUCAGGUGUAGCGGUGAAAUGCGUAGAGAUCUGAAGGAAUACCGGUGGC